rnacentral:rRNA from 1 species
ACAACGGGGGUGCGAGGGCUGUCGCUGACCUUUCAAAAGGUCGUGCACGCCCGAGCGCUCUCACACAUCCAUCUCACCCCUUUGUGCAUCACCGCGUGGGUCCCCCUUUGCAGGAGGGCUCACGUUUUCACACAAAACUUGAUACAGUGUAGAAUGUUAUUUUUGCGGUCACACGCAAUCAAUACAACUUUCAACAACGGAUCUCUUGGCUCUCGCAUCGAUGAAGAACGCAGCGAAAUGCGAUACGUAAUGUGAAUUGCAGAAUUCAGUGAAUCAUCGAAUCUUUGAACGCACCUUGCGCCCCUUGGCAUUCCGAGGGGCACACCCGUUUGAGUGUCGUGAAAUCAUCAAAAACCCUUUUCUGUUUACCGAAAAGGAUUUUUGGACUUGGAGGUUUAAUGCUUGCCUUUCACUUUUGAAAGCGAGCUCCUCUCAAAUGAAUUAGUGGGGUCCGCUUUGCUGGUCCUUGACGUGAUAAGAUGUUUCUACGUUUUGNAUUUAGCACUGUCCCUUUGGAUUCCUGCUCCUAACUGUCCAACGGACAAAACGAUGGUGCUCCGNUCGCCGCCGUCUACAUUGGCGGGGGAGGGCUGGNCCCACGANGAAAACCUUGA